AAAUUGAAGAGUUUGAUCAUGGCUCAGAUUGAACGCUGGCGGCAGGCCUAACACAUGCAAGUCGAACGGUAACAGAAAGAAGCUUGCUUCUUUGCUGACGAGUGGCGGACGGGUGAGUAAUGUCUGGGAAACUGCCUGAUGGAGGGGGAUAACUACUGGAAACGGUAGCUAAUACCGCAUAACGUCGCAAGACCAAAGAGGGGGACCUUCGGGCCUCUUGCCAUCGGAUGUGCCCAGAUGGGAUUAGCUAGUAGGUGGGGUAACGGCUCACCUAGGCGACGAUCCCUAGCUGGUCUGAGAGGAUGACCAGCCACACUGGAACUGAGACACGGUCCAGACUCCUACGGGAG
rnacentral:rRNA from 1 species